rnacentral:rRNA from 1 species
GGCGGCGUGCCUAAUACAUGCAAGUCGAGCGGACGGAAGGGAGCUUGCUCCUGGAAGUCAGCGGCGGACGGGUGAGUAACACGUGGGUAAUCUGCCUGUCAGACCGGAAUAACGCCUGGAAACGGGUGCUAAUGCCGGAUAGUCAGUCUUAGGGCAUCUUAGGACUGGGAAAGGCGCUUUGGCGUCACUGACAGAGGAGCCCGCGGCGCAUUAGCUAGUUGGUGGGGUAAAGGCCUACCAAGGCGACGAUGCGUAGCCGACCUGAGAGGGUGACCGGCCACACUGGGACUGAGACACGGCCCAGACUCCUACGGGAGGCAGCAGUAGGGAAUCUUCGGCAAUGGGCGAAAGCCUGACCGAGCAACGCCNCGUGAGCGAAGAAGGNCUUCGGGUUGUAAAGCUCAGUCACUCGGGGAAGAGCCAACCGGAGAGGGAAUNCUCUGGGUAGAGACNGUACCGANGAGAGGAAGNCCCGGCUAACUACGUUGCCA